AGAGUUUGAUCAUGGCUCAGAAUGAACGUUGGCGGCGUGGAUUAGGCAUGCAAGUCGAGCGACGAGUCCGCUUUCGGGCGGACGACGGAGCGGCGAAAGGGAGAGUAACGCGUAGAUACCUGCCCUCAGAUCUGGGAUAGCGGGGGGAAACCGCCAGUAAUACCAGAUAACGUCUCCGGACCAAAGGUGUGAUUCCGUCUGAGGAGGGGUCCGCGUCCUAUUAGCUAGUUGGUGAGGUAACGGCCCACCAAGGCAACGAUGGGUAGCGGGUGUGAGAGCACGACCCGCAUCACUGGGACUGAGAUACUGCCCAGACACCUACGGGUGGCUGCAGUCGAGAAUCUUCGGCAAUGGGCGAAAGCCUGACCGAGCGACGCCGCGUGCGGGAUGAAGGCCCUCGGGUUGUAAACCGCUGUCAGUGGGGAGGAAGGCUCUGUGAAGAGCAGGGUUUGACCUAUCCGCAGGGGAAGUCCGGGCUAAGUUCGUGCCAGCCGCCGCGGUAAUUC
rnacentral:rRNA from 1 species